UAGUUAACUAGUUUCUCCCGAGGGUAAUCCUUGUUAAGAACAGAUUGCUCUGGCGUAGUUUUAAAUGGUUCCUUUUGCUCACCUCCUGCUGAAAGCAUGAAGAGAUUCUUCUCUGAUAUUUUCUGUGAGAAUCUGAUCAAGCUCCUAGAGGUGAAACUCACAAAUAUUUGGUAGUCGCUCUAGACUGGGUUGCUCCGGAGUUUUUAACUCUCAGGCUUGUUCGCCCUGAUUCUCCAGCAAUUUGUAAAUUAGAGCUCAGGUUUUCCUGCCCCAGCACCGGUCCCCACAGUGGUUUCCACAGCUGCUUUAACCAUCUGGAGAAAGCCUGGAUCUACUGGGAGCACCACAUAUAGCCUGGCUUACAGCUAACCCAAAAGAGAAAGAGGGCCUUGGGAGAGAACAAAGUGACAUACUUAAACCCUGAAGCAGAUCGUGCCUGAGGCUACCUUUGCCCAUAAACAAUUCCAGAGACAAGAUCUCCCUCUGGAACCCGGGCUGGAAUACAGUGGCACACUCAUACCUCACUGCAGCCUUGAACUCCUGGGCUCAAGCGAUUCUCCCACCUCAGCUUCCUGAACAGCUGGGAAUACAGGCGCACCUCACCACACCCAGCUUCAGUCAGCCUGUUCUUGAUGCCUGGAGUCCCUUAUUAGAGAACUUCUCUGGUUUCCUAAAUAUUGUUCCUUAUUUAAAAUGCAACUUAGCACCUCCAGAAGUGUCUGUAGUGCUCUCUUGUCCCCAUAAAUGAGUUAGUUGUGUUCCAAGAUGCAUUCUACCAUGGGCUGAGUGUCCUGGGUUUCUCAAGACGUAUAUUUCAAUGUUAGGGCAUAUGUACACAGGCAGUUUUGGUAGGGCCCAACCUUCUUGUAUAUGUCAGUGCAUAAGCAUGGUGUGAUACAGAGAUGCUUAACCCGUGGGCCCCAAAACAGGGCAUUAGGAGAUCUGUGAGUCCCUCGAUAUUAGAUGCAAAAUUGCCUUGGUGCCCUUGUACCUCUUUGGAACCAGGAAAUCCAUAGCUUUUAUUGGAUUCUCAAAGGGCUCUAUGGUUAAAGAUUCAUGAUCAUGGGAACAGCUACCUGGAACCAGCCCUCCACAGCCUCUUUCAGGUAUGGUGGGUUUGCAAGGGGGCUUGGAGAGAUCUUGAGGUGGUAUUCCAGUCUGGGGGCAGGAAGGGAUGGGUGGAGAGGCAAAGCGAUGAGAUCAGUGACAGUCAGAUAAGCCCAAGGGCCCUGGGUGUCCUGGUGUGUCAGGGUGAGAGAGCAGACCCAUACAGAGCCAAGCCAAACCCUGCUGACUCACAGCUUUCCUCUGGAAGCUGCCCUGCAGUGAGCGUGCAGACAGAGCUUCCAAGCAGCCCGAGAAGGAGCAAGAGCUUUCUCAGCAGGCAAGGGCGAGGCUGAGGCUGAGAGUGGAGCCUCUGGCCCUGGUGCAAUCCUGAGCCUCAGGGGCACUGAGUUCUAGGCCCAGCUGCCAUCUGAUCUCGCACCAGUUCCUCCAUCUACAAAGAAGGGGAUUGAGGGGCUGACACUAGAGGUUCCUUAAAGUUUCUUCUGAUUCGAAAAGAAUGAUUCUAAUGAUCCCAUAAGCUUCCUCUUUGAGUAUUUCUUACCCAGGAGGAAAAUCUGACAGAUUCAGGUUUUAUGAAGCCUGAAGUGUAUACAAUUUGGGGAUAGAGUUACCAGAGAAAUUCCUGAUGCCCAGUUAAAUCUGAAUUUCAGCCAAACAAAUCAGAAAAUGUUAAUACAUAUAUGUCCCAAAUAUCGCUCAUGACAUACUUAUACUAAAAGGUUAUUCACUGUUUACCUGAUUUUCACAUGUAACUGUGAGUCCUGAAUUUUAUUUGGUAACUCUGACAACUGUAGUUGGAAUGAAUUCUAAGUAAAAGAACAUAAAAUUAGGAUUACAGAAUUAAAUACAAAUGUGAAGGUUUAUUGGAAUGAGAAAAGUAAUCACAGGAAGUCACCGGAGCUUUGAAGAUUUAGGCCUGUUUCAGCAAUUGGAACAUUCUGCAACUCCUGGAACUCACAGGGAUCCCCAGUAAGUGAGAGGCCUCAAGCCUCAGGUUUAUAAGCAUCACAGCCAAUUCACAUUUCCUGGGAUGUUGGCGUCUUUUCUAAAGCCUUCUCUAUUUAUUACCCUAGUUUCAUUGGUUCUCAUGGCAGCCUCUCAAAUUAUACAAUUGGGUAUUUUUGUAACUCCAUCUCUUCAUCUCUUAUUUUUUAGUCUUUUUUUUUAUCUAUUGGAGUUUGGAUUUUUAGCUUUUCAAUUUCAUGGAAAAAACAGAUUUUAAAUAAUAUUUAUGAAACAGUAUAAGCCUUGCAGUUUAGACUAUUUUAGAAACAUCAGAUUAUAUUAGUUAUAUGGGCAACUGGUAAUUUUAUUGUCUACAUUUUAUAAAGUCUAAAAAGAGAAACAAGGAAUAAUAAAUUUUUCUUUCACUUAGAAACUGCUUUAGAGGAACAUUUAAUUUUGACUGUAGCCUGCAGAUAUGUCAAGAUCUUUGUGUACAUAAACACAUAUGCAUAUGUAUAUGUUCCUGAAUGCUAUGCAGGAUUACCUUAAAGCAUAACUAAGUCCUCCAAAAUGAUUGACCAGUAGGAAAUCAGUCAAAUUAGACAAAAUUGUUCUGUCCUAAGCAUAUAUUAAAAUGUUUAUGAGUAAAAUGUAUGUAUAUUUUAAUUAUCAUAAAUGAAGUAUCCAUGGAAGAUAUUUUGUUAUCUUUCAUUUUAAAUUUGAACUAGUAGGUUCAAUUUUUUUCUUAUUGAAAGAAAGUAUUCUUGAGCACUGUUACACAGAUUUCACAUUAUUAUAGCAGAUAAUGUUUUUGGCCUUGAAAAUUCUUAAUCUCUUCCUAAUGAUGGUAGCAAUUGGCUUAAAAUGUAAUGUGAUAGAAAAUUAAAGUGACUAUAAAAGAAAAUAAAAGUAAUUUAAGAUGGAAGAAAAAUGUAGAACAAGAUAAGCAGAAAGAAAUAGAGAUGAAAUACCAAGAAAUUAAAUCUAUUUUGCAAUUUUUGAAAAAUGGCUUGAAAUAAGUUGUAUAAUGUAUUAGUGGAUCCACAGUGGUAACUGAAUAAACUAGUUCACUAUUCUGGAUAUACCAGUUUAAUAAUGUCAUAAUUUGUGCAGCCAUUUGCUUGCUUUUUCCCUCUAAAAUAUUUAAGGCACUCCACUUGGCUGUAUGUGUAUAAGCAUGUAAUGAUGGCGGUGGUGGUGGUGCUGGAAUGUAUAGCUGUGUGUAAGCAUGUAGUCAUUGUGAUGGCAGUGAUGGUGUGUGUGUGUGCGUGUGUGUGUGUGGUAAUU
rnacentral:lncRNA from 1 species